GAAGACUGAUAUGGUGUAAUUGGAAGCACACAAUCGAAAGAUUGAGGCGAGGGUUCGAAUCCCGAACAGCUUCU
rnacentral:tRNA from 1 species